rnacentral:piRNA from 1 species
UGGUCGAGAGCGGACGCGACAUUCC